rnacentral:rRNA from 1 species
CGCGCAGGCGGCGCGUUAAGUCCGGGGUGAAAUCCCACGGCUCAACUGUGGGGGACCGUUGGAUACUGGCGUGCUGGAGUGCGGGAGAGGGAAGCGGAAUUCCACGUGUAACGGUGAAAUGUAUAGAUAUGUGGAGGAACACCGGUGGCGAAGGCGGCUUCCUGGACCGUAACUGACGCUGAGGCGCGAAAGCUGGGGGAGCGAACA